rnacentral:rRNA from 1 species
UACGAAGGGAGCUAGCGUUGUUCGGAAUUACUGGGCGUAAAGGGCGCGUAGGCGGCCUGCUAAGUCGGACGUGAAAUCCCCCCGGCUCAACCGAGGAACUGCGUCCGAUACUGGUGGGCUCGAAUCCGGGGAGAGGGAUGUGGAAUUCCAGGUGUAGCGGUGAAAUGCGUAGAUAUCUGGAGGAACACCGGUGGCGAAGGCGGCAUCCUGGACCGGCAUU